rnacentral:rRNA from 1 species
GGAUGCGUUCAUACCAGCACUAAAGCACCGGAUCCCAUCAGAACUCCGCAGUUAAGCGUGCUUUGGGCGAGAGUAGUACUAGGAUGGGUGMCCUCCKGGGAAGUCCUCGUGUUGUAUCCC